rnacentral:rRNA from 1 species
UACGCAGGGGGCUAGCGUUGCUCGGAAUCACUGGGCGUAAAGCGCACGUAGGCGGCUUUUUAAGUCAGGGGUGAAAUCCUGGAGCUCAACUCCAGAACUGCCCUUGAUACUGAGAGGCUUGAGUCCGGGAGAGGUGAGUGGAAUUCCCAGUGUAGAGGUGAAAUUCGUAGAUAUUGGGAAGAACACCGGUGGCGAAGGCGGCUCACUGGCCCGGUACUGACGCUGAGGUGCGAAAGCGUGGGGAGCAAACAGG